GUUAAAACGAUAGUUAAAACUAUUCUGUAGCUAGUUUAACUGUCCUGGGUCUACUGCCUCGUUAUCUUCAGUAAGGGGUCUGCUACAGCGUGGAAUUAGCCCGUGUUACACCGUGACAUUUAUCUGGAGAGAGAGAUGUAUAUUAUCGCCAUGGUAAUAUUGCUGUUGCUGUGUUUCUUAUUGCAGAGCUGAUAGAUGUGCAGAUAGUUUAAUAUCACUUGUGCAGCCACGUGCUGAUAUUCAGGUUGUGUUUUGGUAGCAAGGUGUAACCACCAGUAAACAGACCAGCGCUGUGGAGCCACCUGCUCAGAUAUUAAAGGUGUAUUACACUGCUCCGUUAUGGACAUGUGUGCUGUAAUAGAUGUGGCUUAUUCUCAGUCUGUUACUGAGCAACAUGUUACAGUUAUGUUAAUUAUUACAGAGAAAUGUAAUUCUUAGUAUUGAUUCUUGUUAUAUGCUGGUGGCUAUAACAUUUAGUUUGGUAAAUAAUGUUCAUAGUAAGUCAGAUGCUUAUUAAUGUGCAUUAUUAUUAUUAUUAUUAUUAUUAUUAUUAUUAUUAUUAUUAUUAUUAUUAUUAUUAGCUUAUAUUUCAGAAGCCCAUCCAGCUUCACAUGUAACAUCAGAUACAACUUAAUAAAUCUUGCUGGAUCUCAGAGUCAGACCUCUCUGGUUCUGGUUCUUACUGGACCCCCUACAGUCGGCCAGUGUUUCAGCAGCCUGGUUCAGGUUCUUACUGGACCCCCUACAGUGGGCCAGUGUUUCAGCAGCCAGGUUCAGGUUCUUACUGGACCCCCUACAGUGGGCCAGUGUUUCAGCAGCCAGGUUCAGGUUCUUACUGGACCCCCUACAGUGGGCCAGUGUUUCAGCAGCCAGGUUCAGGUUCUUACUGGACCCCCUACAGCAGCCAGGUUCUGGUUCUUACUGGACCCCCUACAGCAGCCAGGUUCUGGUUCUUACUGGACCCCCUACAGCGGGCCAGUGUUUCAGCAGCCAGGUUCUGGUUCUUACUGGACCCCCUACAGCAGCCAGGUUCUGGUUCUUACUGGACCCCCUACAGCGGGCCAGUGUUUCAGUAUUCAGUUGUCAGUAGUUUUUAGAAGCCUCUUGACUUUAUAUUAGUGUAAUAUAAUAUAAUGAUAUUAUUAAUAUUAAUAUAAUAAACCCUGUUACCCUUUGUGAAACUAUUUCAGCGUGUGCAGGCCUGUCAGAGCUUUCUGAACUUAUUGAACACACUUUACACUUUACUUUAAAAUACCACGAUAAUACCCAAAACCGUGAUCAUUUUGGUCACUAUAACUGUGAGGUUACAUUUUCAUCUGUUACAUCCCUACUCAAAGUUUAAUUAACUAUCAGUAACUCAUGUAGUAGUGAUGGUUAUUAUAAAGUGUGGAUACAUUACUCCCAUUUAUUGAAUUUGAUUUUGCAUCUUUAUCUUCCUCUUUAGUUCCUCCGACACUUUAUUUCAUUUAAUCUGAACUAAUAGUACUAUUAGUACUAAUAGUACUAUUAGUUAUAUUAGUACUAUUAGGUGUGUACUGUCAAUACAUCACUUCCUGUCUUGUUUUGUAUUUCUAGAACUUUUCCUGACAUGUUUAUAGCGUGCCUUAUUAUAUUGCUCUAUAACUUGAGGCUAGUAGAAAUAUAUAUAAUAUGUGGUAUUAAAAAGUGUAACCACACUUGAAACCACUUUAUCGGCCGUGCUUCUGUAGCCUGUAGUGUCUGUUUCAGCCACCAGGGGGCAGCGCAGGCAUCCCAGUAUCACACAGAGAGGUGAAUAUGAGUCACAUGUCUGUCCUUCAGUCCCCUGAUGAGUCUCCAUGUUGUUGUUG